CUUAUAAAAUCGUAAGCAUUCUUCAACUUACCAAAUUAAUUAAUCACCAACACCUAAUAAUACUUAUUGGCACUUUCUCUAUCUACAAGAAAGAGAGAGAGAGAGAGAGAGAGAGAGAGAGAGAGAGAGAGAGAGAUGGGAAGUUUUGAGACGCAAGUGAAGAAGAGAGCUUAUGGGGUAAAACUCAUUUUCAAGAAAGGAUUCAGGAUUGUGGGUAAUUCUUGCAAGAAGGGAUGGCGCAAGGUCAAGCACAUUAAAAAAUGAUUUUUAUUUGAUCACUCAAAUGUAUGUAUGUGAUAUGUCUUAGGUUGUCUUAUUUCUGCUUCCCUGUUUGUAUUGUUCUUAGUUGCAACUUGUGUUUUUUUUUUUUUUUUUUUUUUUAUUCCAUUUUUAUUGUACUUCAUUUCUGGUCCAAUUACAAUGAUAUUAUUUACUAUUCGAUCUCAAAUUUAUAGCAAUUUCUUUUAGUAACUCACCCUCCAAACCAAAGGGAGAUGUACACUAAUUAAAAAAGAUUAAUAACAACGAUUUG
rnacentral:lncRNA from 1 species